CCAUCUGUGAUGAACUCUUUAACACGUAAGAAGAAUCCCUUUGUGGGGUUCUUCUAUGAAAUUUGCUUGUUACGCUUGGCUUCUUAGAUCU